rnacentral:rRNA from 1 species
GAGUUUGAUCAUGGCUCAGAUUGAACGCUGGCGGCAGGCUUAACACAUGCAAGUCGAACGGUAGCAGGAGAAAGCUUGCUUUCUUGCUGACGAGUGGCGGACGGGUGAGUAAUGCUUGGGAAUCUGGCUUAUGGAGGGGGAUAACUACUGGAAACGGUAGCUAAUACCGCGUAAUAUCGAGAGAUUAAAGACUGGGACCUACGGGCCAGUUGCCAUAAGAUGAGCCCAAGUGGGAUUAGGUAGUUGGUGGGGUAAAGGCCUACCAAGCCCGCGAUCUCUAGCUGGUCUGAGAGGAUGACCAGCCACACUGGAACUGAGACACGGUCCAGACUCCUACGGGAGGCAGCAGCGGGGAAUAUUGCACAAUGGGGGGAACCCUGAUGCAGCCAUGCCGCGUGAAUGAAGAAGGCCUUCGGGUUGUAAAGUUCUUUCGGUGGUGAGGAAGGUAUCAACUUUAAUAGAGUUGGUAAU